AGCUUUGUAGCUAGCCCGCUCAAACAACUUCAACAAACCCCUGUUAAUAACCCCUAAGUACACCAGUAUUUUUAUUAAACAAACCAUUUUUCCCCCUUAGUAUAGGCGAUAGAAAA
rnacentral:rRNA from 1 species